ensembl:lncRNA
CGUGACUUCGCCACUGUAUUCCUUUUCUCCAUUGACAUUUUGUAAAGUCAUAAUAUAAAGAGUUUUAAGCUCGGCCCAUGCCAAUUUUCGUCCAGGUAGUUGUAUUUAUAAAACAUUUGUUUCAGAGCAAACAUUUCUUUGGGAAAAUGGAAUAAAAAGCAAAGGUACGAGACUGAAUACUGACUGACUCUGAACCGCUAGGGGUCGUCGUCAGGCACGACGCGACUCUGAACCGCUAGGGAACGUCGUUAGGCACGACUCUAAAUCCCGGGCCCGAGUAGCUGGAGGUGAUGCUUCACGGCGUCGUCCCCUUAAGUGUACAUUAGAUCUCCAGCACCAUAAUGGCGAACUGCUCGUUCGGUGAAUAUGGCAGCAGAAUGGCUGAGCUUGAACACAGCCACAGUCGGCUCAGAAAAGAGACUGGAGAGAUGAGGCACUUGCUGGAGGUUGCAGAUGAGGAGGUGGCUGAACUACGCAUGGAGAAUGCAGCCCUGACAGGCAAAGUGGAAAUGCUGGAGAGUUCCCUCAGCGAUGCGGGGCACAUCCAAGUUGAGCUCCGCAGGGUCAAGAGCCUCCUCUGUGAGGAGCAGAGUAGCAACAGGAAAAGAACAAGCAACAAGGAGCAGGAGAUUCAAAAGUUGGAGGAGGAACGUAAGAUUCUGACGGAGCAGGCCAAAGGUCUAUCUGCCCAGCUGAAGGAGCUGCAGCAGCAGAGAGAGCAACGCGAGCUCAGCCAGAGUAACCUGGAGGCAGCACUGCAAAGGCUUCAGAUUAAAAUGGAAGAUAUUCGCCAGGAGCUGAAACUGAAGGAUGAGGAUAUCCACCAGCAAAACUGGCAGUUGAUGCAGCUUGAGGAGAUGAGGGAAGAGUACACAAACAUUAUACGGGACCUGCGGCUCAGGAACAAGGACCUGGAGAGCCAGGUGGAGCUCCAGCAGGAGGAGGCCGCCCGCCUGGUGAAUCACCAAUCCCCCCGCAACCCCCUCUCCAUCGCGGACGAGGUGGAGCUGCAGGCCUACCUGGCGGUGGUGGAGAAUUGUAGGCGAGAAGAGAAAGAUGAUGGGAAAAACACUGCUGUCAAGCCUUUUCCAAAGAGGUUGUGUGUGUGUGGGUGUGAGUGUGUGUGUGUGUGUGUGUUUGUGUGUGUGUGUGUGUGUGUGUGUGUGAGGUUGUGUGUGUGUAAGAGGGUGUGAGAGCGUGUGUGUGUGUGUGUGCGUGAGUGUGUGUGUGUGUGAGGCUGUGUGUGGGUGUGUUUGAGGUUGUGUGUGUGUGUGUGUGUGCGUGCGUGUGUAGCCAGGGUCGUUCAGGUGGCCAGCUGCUGCACGGCGUGCUGACCAAGGGCCUCCUGGCCCUCGGAGGUGUGUCUGUCCUGGCCCUCGGAGGUCUGUCUGUCCUGGCCGUGACGGCCCCCAUGCUACUGGACAACUGGGGCUACAGCGCCGACCUUGUCUCCACCAACGACCUCUGGAAGACUGUGCAUGACUUGUUCUUGCGUAACUGUGACAAACAGUACAAGUGUUUGCCUCCAGUCUAGACUCCACCUAACUGGUAGGACUUGAAGCAGUUGUAGAAGAUUAAAUUGAAGUGUCUAACUGAGUGAAAUAUGUCUGGUUGGAGUUACCUUACAUCAUUCUUACCUGAAAUACCUCCUUCGUUCGACGUUAUUUUAUUGGAUUUUUUAUAGGCUGUUAUUGAACUGUUAUUACUAUUACUAUUACUAUUUCUAUUACUGAACCAUAUAUCAAAUGGGCAAAAAAUGUGUAAACCAACCCAUAAUAAUAAAACACAAGAGGGACAGAGAGCUCAAAUACAAACUUACAAAGGGCAUAGACUAAGUAUUAAAUCAUAGAAAUAUUCACAUCGCAUGAUUACUUGUAAUGUGAGAUAAAUAGAGAACAAAGUCCAAGUGCAUGGCGCUCUUUAAUUAGUAUUUUACGAAGGACAAAGUCUAGUACAAAAGUGUACAAAACUUUUUUCAUUAAACAUUUGGUUUACAUUGUGUAUAGUUAGUGGUUUUUGCGAACAGCAAUCAUCCCCACGACCGCGGCACCAAUCGUCAACACUGGAUGUUGCACCAAUCGCCACAACUGUGGACAGAAACACACACACACACACACACACACACACACACACACACACACACACACACACACACAUACACAAACAGAGGUGUGAUGAUAAAUAUACUGGGUACUUAUACAACUUUCUAGAAGGAAAUAUAGAAUAUAGAAAAUCAGGCACCAAAAUAAGCUAAUUCUCUGUGACACAUUUACUAUGAUGCUGUGUAGUACGUGAUACAUACAUGUUGUCCAAAAUAACAGUAUAAUACUAAUUAACUAACUAACUCAUAACGGAUUUGGUAAAUUGUGCUACACAUAGAUAAAUUUUCCCAUCCCUUGCCACCUUAUAAUGGUCGUCUACAACAUUACACACCAGGAAGACUCACCUGUCGAGAUUCACCCUUGCCGUAGUGUAGCCAUGUAGAGAAGUCUUCGCAGUUCUGUUCCAGGAGAUCGGAUUGCUUCUCUGUGCCCACCAGGCUGAGGGCUUCCUUCACGAUGACGUAGGCGUCCUGGGGUGUGUACUUGUCGUCCAUUAAAUUGUUGAUUUUCCACUUGCUAUCUUGAAUAGCAUCUUUCAGUCUUUCUUUCUUUACAAUGGCUUUCUUAUUGGUCU